ACAUAGGGUAAGAGAAGAUAACAAUGUAUAAGAAUAGAAAGAUGUGGUUGUUAAGCAUGACCAAUUCCUUUAAACCACUAUGGCGAAGGAUAAAGUAGAACAUUAUAUGAGAACUCUGAAUUCUUCAGUAGUAUCACUUUAUAGGAAAACACCAUGCAGCUAAUGAUCAUACUUCCAGCUCUGGCAACUGUGGUAGCUAGAGUGUUAGAUCACACUUUGGAGAAAGAAUUUGCGAAAAUUGGUGGAAUGUCGACCUUCCACAGAGGACUAGCUAGCGACUGAUCGAUCGACGCAUGAUAUGUAUAUGAUGGAAGCCAGCAGGUGGUAGUUUUGUUGAUUGCUG
rnacentral:lncRNA from 1 species